rnacentral:lncRNA from 1 species
UGGAAGAUUUUCACAGGGACAAUGCGCUUGAGUUCCAUUUUUUUUUAUGGGUAAGACCUCUUGAAUAAAUUUGGGCCUUGAAAACUGGGCUUUUGCAUAUCCAUGUCUGGUGAAUAAGGCCUAUGAGAACACUGGGCUUUUGCUCUCAUAAUCACCGUCGCCCCUUCUCCCUCCCAAUUCCCUCCCGAUUCCUAAUCCGAUCUCUCAUGGCUUCUGCAGAGCCAACUCCUCCUCUCACGGCCACCGUUACCUUGCCGUCCACCAAACCAACUCCCCUCCUCCCCCCUCCCCCCUCCGCCGUUGCCGAAGCUUCCGCAACUUCUUCCUUUCCAGUUACUCCCUCCGUCGCCGCCGCCCCCUCCGAUGCCGAUUUGGUCCACAUCCCUAGCUACUCCCGUAAUUCAUCGCAUCUC